AUCUAUAACAAGAUGAAAGUGGUGGCAGCCAAGAUGAAAGUGGUGGUGGCCGCAUCAAAGGAGAAGGUGCAACAAGACGAACCGAAAGCUGCUAUCUCAGAUGUGAAAUGUGACAACCCAAAAGAGGAGGGCAAUGUGCAGCAAACCAAAAGUUGUUGCCUCAGAUGUGAAAUGUGAUGACCUAGAGCAGGAGGAAGAUUCCAAUAAAAAUGGGGAACUGGAGGAGUGUAACAAAUGUGUAAUUUAUUUUUUCCACUCUAUAUGCUAUCUUAGAA